rnacentral:rRNA from 1 species
GACGAACGCUGGCGGCGUGCUUAACACAUGCAAGUCGAACGGAAAGGCCCUGCUUUUGUGGGGUGCUCGAGUGGCGAACGGGUGAGUAACACGUGAGUAACCUGCCCUUGACUUUGGGAUAACUUCAGGAAACUGGGGCUAAUACCGGAUAGGAGCUCCUGCUGCAUGGUGGGGGUUGGAAAGUUUCGGCGGUUGGGGAUGGACUCGCGGCUUAUCAGCUUGUUGGUGGGGUAGUGGCUUACCAAGGCUUUGACGGGUAGCCGGCCUGGGAGGGUGGACGGCCACCUUGGGACUGAGGUACGGCCCAGACUCCUACGGGAGGCAGCAGUGGGGAGUAUUGCGGAGUGGGCGGAAGCGUGAUGCAGCAACGCCGCGUGCGGGAUGACGGCCUUCGGGUUGUAAACAGAUUUCGCCUGUGACGAAGCGUGAGUGACGGUAAUGGGUAAAGAAGCACCGGCUAACUACGUG